GGGGGUAUAGCUCAGAGGUAGAGCAUUUGACUGCAGAUCAACUAGUCUGUGUUAUCUGGGUGUAAAUAAAUAUAAAUAAAUAUUCUCA
rnacentral:tRNA from 1 species